rnacentral:rRNA from 1 species
UACGUAGGGCGCAAGCGUUGUCCGGAAUUAUUGGGCGUAAAGAGCUCGUAGGCGGAUUGUCGCGUCUGCUGUGAAAACCUAAGGCUCAACCUUGGGCUUGCAGUGGGUACGGGCAGACUAGAGUGCGGUAGGGGUGACUGGAAUUCCUGGUGUAGCGGUGGAAUGCGCAGAUAUCAGGAGGAACACCGAUGGCGAAGGCAGGUCGCUGGGCCGCAACUGACGCUGAGGAGCGAAAGCAUGGGGAGCGAACAGG